rnacentral:sRNA from 1 species
GCUACGUAGACGACGAAGAAGAAGAUGAAGAAGAGGAUAACAAUAACUACGAAGAAGAGGAAGAAGAAGAUGAGAGACAGAGCAA